CGCCUCUGGGCCAACUCUGAGGUAGCUCCAGCUGAACUGAGAGUUUGGCUUUUCUAAGAGAGGUAUACGGGUGACGCCUUCGAUCCGCCUUCCUCAUGUCAAUUCUUGAUAACUUCCAAGAGCCAAGUGAGAAGAAGGCAGUGAUGCAGGAGGAGAGACCACUGGAGAUAGGCCAGACCUUCAUUUUUUAGUAUGCUGUGGAGAAUGCCACAAAGUCCAUGGGUCGGGCAAUGAUGGGAAAAUGAAGAUGGAUUCUUUCUUGGAGCCCAGCUAACAGGAGUUGGAGAAAAUCUCCAAGACCUCCACGGCCCCUGCAUGUAAUUGUGAUAAAGAAGAAAAUAGCAGAGAAGCCCCUCCCUCGUGGUCCCCGCUGGAGCUCUUCAACCUCCCUGGACGUUGUUGCCUGUGAGGGGUAAGU